rnacentral:rRNA from 1 species
AGAGUUUGAUCAUGGCUCAGAUUGAACGCUGGCGGCAUGCCUUACACAUGCAAGUCGAACGGUAACGCGGGGCAACCUGGCGACGAGUGGCGAACGGGUGAGUAAUGUAUCGGAACGUGCCCAGUAGUGGGGGAUAGCCCGGCGAAAGCCGGAUUAAUACCGCAUACGACCUACGGGUGAAAGGGGGGGAUCGCAAGACCUCUCGCUAUUGGAGCGGCCGAUAUCAGAUUAGGUAGUUGGUGGGGUAAAGGCCUACCAAGCCGACGAUCUGUAGCUGGUCUGAGAGGACGACCAGCCACACUGGGACUGAGACACGGCCCAGACUCCUACGGGAGGCAGCAGUGGGGAAUUUUGGACAAUGGGCGCAAGCCUGAUCCAGCCAUGCCGCGUGCGGGAAGAAGGCCUUCGGGUUGUAAACCGCUUUUGUCAGGGAAGAAAUCCUUUGGGCUAAUACCCCGGAGGGAUGACGGUACCUGAAGAAUAGGCACCGGCUAACUACGUGCCAGCAGCCGCGGUAAUACGUAGGGUGCAAGCGUUAAUCGGAAUUACUGGGCGUAAAGCGUGCGCAGGCGGUUGUGUAAGACAGAUGUGAAAUCCCCGGGCUCAACCUGGGAACUGCAUUUGUGACUGCACAGCUGGAGUGCGGCAGAGGGGGAUGGAAUUCCGCGUAGCAGUGAAAUGCGUAGAUAUGCGGAGGAACACCGAUGGCGAAGGCAAUCCCCUGGGCCUGCACUGACGCUCAUGCACGAAAGCGUGGGGAGCAAACAGGAUUAGAUACCCUAGUAGUCC